GGGGGUUAUGGCGCAGUUGUGGUAGCGCGUCUGCAUGGCAUGCAGAAGGUUCAGGGGUGUCGAAUCCCCUUACCUCCACCA
rnacentral:tRNA from 1 species